UAGCGAAGGAACUCUGGGUCAACACCCUCCUUAGGUAAGCCCUUCCUGGCACUGCAGCUUGGGCUGCCCUUGCUUCCAUCAUGGCGGGAUGCUCCAUGAGUGGCAUCCGAAGGAUCAGAAGACACCUCUGCUGAGCUGGGCAGAGGUGCCCCCACAGCUGCAGGCAGAGAUGCCCCCACUGCUGAGUGGGCACAUCUGGUGAAGAUGCUUUAUCCAGCUGUGUCCAGUCAAUACCUGUCCAGCCCCACCCUCACCACAACCACUGUUCCUGCUCCACUGCUGGGCAGUACCACCUGUUCCUGGCAGUGUGGAAGCACUUCCCAGGCUGGCAGCAGAGGGAAGAUCUGACUUGGGUCUCACACAGCUCUUUCUCUGCCCCUUCCCUGUGCACAAACCACCGGAAGGAGUUCAGGGAGCCAGGGUGACCCAGCUGCCAUCUGUAAGGGUGGUGCUGAAGGAGCUGAGUGGCUGCCAUGCUGGGACAGCACUGGAUGCCGGCAGCCUGGAGAAGCUGCUCCAGCACUAGGCUCAGGCUGGUGCCAAGAAGCUGCCAGUUCCUGUCCCCCCUGGCAGUAAAGGCAGACAUGGCCAUGUGGAUGGUGAGUGUGAAG